CCUACGGGGUGCAGCAGUAGGGAAUAUUGCACAAUGGGGGAAACCCUGAUGCAGCGACGCCGCGUGAGUGAAGAAGUAUCUCGGUACGUAAAGCUCUAUCAUCAGGGAAGAUAAUGACGGUACCUGACCAAUAAGCCCCGGCUAACUCCGUGCCAGCAGCCGCGGUAAUACGUAGGGGGCAAGCGUUAUCCGGAUUUACUGGGUGUAAAGUGAGCGUAGGCGGCAGAGCAAGUCUGGAGUGAAAUCCCGGGGCUUAACCCCUGAACUGCUUUUGAAACUGUGAGGCUGGAGUGCAGGAGGGGUAAGUGGAAUUCCUAGUGUAGGGGUGAAAUGCGUAGAGAGUAGGAGGAAUACUGGUGGCGAAGGCGGCUUACUGGACCGUAACUGACGCUGAUGCGCGAAAGCGUGGGGAGCAAACAGGAGUAGAUACCCGAGUAGUC
rnacentral:rRNA from 1 species